GCGAGAGUAGUACAGUGGUAGUACAUAUGCUUCCCAAGCAUAGAACGCGGGUUCGAUUCCCGUCUCUCGCUCAA
rnacentral:tRNA from 1 species